rnacentral:misc_RNA from 1 species
GAUGAAGAACGAAGCGAAAUGCGAUAAGUAAUGUGAAUUGCAGAAUUCAGUGAAUCAUCGAAUCUUUGAACGCACAUUGCGCCCGCCAGUAUUCUGGCGGGCAUGCCUGUUCGAGCGUCAUUUCAACCAUCAAGCCCUGCUUGCGUUGGGGUCCUGCGGCUGCCCGCAGGCCCUGAAAACCAGUGGCGGGCUCGCUAGUCACACCGAGCGCAGUAAUACAUCUCGCUUUGGGCGUGCGGCGGGUUCUUGCCGUUAAACACCCCCUUUUUACCAAGGUUGACCUCGGAUCAGGGAGGAAUACCCGCUGAACUUAAGCAUAUCAAUAAGCGGAGGA